GAUUGAGUUUGAUCAUGGCUCAGAUUGAACGCUGGCGGCAGGCCUAACACAUGCAAGUCGAGCGGUAGAGAGAAGCUUGCUUCUCUUGAGAGCGGCGGACGGGUGAGUAAUGCCUAGGAAUCUGCCUGGUAGUGGGGGAUAACGUUCGGAAACGGACGCUAAUACCGCAUACGUCCUACGGGAGAAAGCAGGGGACCUUCGGGCCUUGCGCUAUCAGAUGAGCCUAGGUCGGAUUAGCUAGUUGGUGAGGUAAUGGCUCACCAAGGCGACGAUCCGUAACUGGUCUGAGAGGAUGAUCAGUCACACUGGAACUGAGACACGGUCCAGACUCCUACGGGAGGCAGCAGUGGGGAAUAUUGGACAAUGGGCGAAAGCCUGAUCCAGCCAUGCCGCGUGUGUGAAGAAGGUCUUCGGAUUGUAAAGCACUUUAAGUUGGGAGGAAGGGUUGUAGAUUAAUACUCUGCAAUUUUGACGUUACCGACAGA
rnacentral:rRNA from 1 species